UUGUCCGGAAUUACUGGGUGUAAAGGGAGCGUAGGCGGGACGGUAAGUCAGGUGUGAAAUAUACGUGCUCAACAUGUAGACUGCACUUGAAACUGCUGUUCUUGAGUGAAGUAGAGGUAAGCGGAAUUCCUAGUGUAGCGGUGAAAUGCGUAGAUAUUAGGAGGAACAUCGGUGGCGAAGGCGGCUUACUGGGCUUUUACUGACGCUGAGGCCCGAAAGCGUGGGGAGCAAACAGGAUUAGAUACCCUGGUAGUCCACGCUGUAAACGAUGAUUACUAGGUGUGGGGGGACUGACCCCUUCCGUGCCGCAGUU
rnacentral:rRNA from 1 species